rnacentral:rRNA from 1 species
UGGGGAAUAUUGGACAAUGGGCGAAAGCCUGAUCCAGCCAUGCCGCGUGAGUGACGAAGGCCUUAGGGUUGUAAAACUCUUUCGUCGGGGACGAUAAUGACGGUACCCGAAGAAGAAGCUCCGGCUAACUUCGUGCCAGCAGCCGCGGUAAUACGAAGGGAGCUAGCGUUGUUCGGAAUCACUGGGCGUAAAGCGCACGUAGGCGGAUAGUUAAGUCAGGGGUGAAAUCCUGGGGCUCAACCCCAGAACUGCCUUUGAUACUGGCUGUCUCGAGGUCGAGAGAGGUUGGUGGAAUUCCUAGUGUAGAGGUGAAAUUCGUAGAUAUUAGGAAGAACACCAGUGGCGAAGGCGGCCAACUGGCUCGAUACUGACGCUGAGGUGCGAAAGCGUGGGGAGCAAACAGGAUUAGAUACCCAUGUAGUCCCUGAGCGGGC